rnacentral:rRNA from 1 species
AACCUCCGCAAUGUGAGAAAUCGCGACGGGGGGAUCCCAAGUGCCAUUCUUAACGGGAUGGCUUUUCAUUAGCGUAAAGAGCUUUUGGAAUAAGAGCUGGGCAAGACCGGUGCCAGCCGCCGCGGUAACACCGGCAGCUCUAGUGGUAGCAAUUUUUAUUGGGCCUAAAGCGUCCGUAGCCGGCUUAAUAAGUCUCUGGUGAAAUCCUGUAGCUUAACUGUGGGAAUUGCUGGAGAUACUAUUAGACUUGAGACCGGGAGAGGUUAGAGGUACUCCCAGGGUAGAGGUGAAAUUCUGUAAUCCUGGGAGGACCGCCUGUUGCGAAGGCGUCUAACUGGAACGGUUCUGACGGUGAGGGACGAAAGUUAGGGGCGCGAACCGGAUUAGAUACCCGGGUAGUCCUAACUGUAAACGAUGCGGACUUGGUGUUGGGGUGGCUUUGAGCUGCUCCAGUGCCGAAGGGAAGCUGUUAAGUCCGCCGCCUGGGAAGUACGGUCGCAAGACUGAAACUUAAAGGAAUU